rnacentral:hammerhead_ribozyme from 1 species
UGCCAGAUGAUGAGUCCCAAAUAGGACGAAAUGUGCAUCCUGGAA